GAUGAACGCUGGCGGCGUGCCUAAUACAUGCAAGUAGAACGCUGAAGGAAGGAGCUUGCUCUUUCCGGAUGAGUUGCGAACGGGUGAGUAACGCGUAGGUAACCUGCCUGGUAGCGGGGGAUAACUAUUGGAAACGAUAGCUAAUACCGCAUAACAGUAGAUGUUGCAUGAUAUCUACUUAAAAGGUGCAAUUGCACCACUACCAGAUGGACCUGCGUUGUAUUAGCUAGUUGGUGAGGUAACGGCUCACCAAGGCGACGAUACAUAGCCGACCUGAGAGGGUGAUCGGCCACACUGGGACUGAGACACGGCCCAGACUCCUACGGGAGGCAGCAGUAGGGAAUCUUCGGCAAUGGACGGAAGUCUGACCGAGCAACGCCGCGUGAGUGAAGAAGGUUUUCGGAUCGUAAAGCUCUGUUGUAAGAGAAGAACGAGUGUGAGAGUGGAAAGUUCACACUGUGGCGGUAUCUUACCAGAAAGGGACGGCUAACUACGUG
rnacentral:rRNA from 1 species